AAAGGAAUUGACGGGGCCCGCACAAGCGGAGGAGCAUGUGGUUUAAUUCGAUGAUACGCGAGGAACCUUACCUGGGCUCGAACGUAAGAUGACUGUAGGUGAAAGCUUACAUCUCUUCGGAGCAUUUUACGAGGUGCUGCAUGGUUGUCGUCAGCUCGUGCCGUGAGGUGUCGGGUUAAGUCCCAUAACGAGCGCAACCCCUACCUUUAGUUGCCAUCAGGUAAUGCUGGGGACUCUAAAGGAACUGCCUACGCAAGUAGUGAGGAAGGCGGGGAUGACGUCAAAUCAGCACGGCCCUUACGUCCAGGGCUACACACGUGCUACAAUGGCCGAUACAGAGGGCAGCUACCUGGUGACAGGAUGCAAAUCUCCAAAGUCGGUCUCAGUUCGGAUCGGAGUCUGCAACCCGACUCCGUGAAGUUGGAUUCGCUAGUAAUCGCGCAUCAGCCAUGGCGCGGUGAAUACGUUCCCGGGCCUU
rnacentral:rRNA from 1 species